rnacentral:antisense_RNA from 1 species
UAACUUCACUCCUCUUGUAGUGUGCAAAAUAUAGCAAUAAGCAAACGGUGCAGCAGUUUGCUUACUGCUAUAUUUAAAAA